GAUCCUGGCUCAGGAUGAACGCUAGCUACAGGCUUAACACAUGCAAGUCGAGGGGCGAGCAUUCCAGUUUGCUUGCAAACUGGAGAUGGCGACCGGCGCACGGGUGAGUAACACGUAUCCAACCUGCCGAUAACUCGGGGAUAGCCUUUCGAAAGAAAGAUUAAUACCCGAUGGCAUAAUAGAACCGCAUGGUUUGAUUAUUAAAGAAUUUCGGUUAUCGAUGGGGAAUGCGUUCCAUUAGGCGAG
rnacentral:rRNA from 1 species